rnacentral:lncRNA from 1 species
CUCACAUUGUUCACUCUCCCCUCCCAGAUGCUAUCAGGCCACUGCAAGUGUGAACAGCUUACCUCAAGGGAAGAAUCAAGAGUGAAGGGACACAAGAACCUAGAAUCAGAUCACACCUCCCCUUUUACAGAUAACAUUGCUUGAAGGAAGACAGAACUAUGCUACUCAAGAAUCAUGACGAACAGAUCAUAUAGACAGGGGUUUGCAGUGUUGCCCAGACUGAAAUGCAGUUUUGUGACCUCAGCUCACCACAACCUCCACCUCCUGCUCCUGCCUCAGCCUCUUGAGUAGCUGGGAUUACAGGCACGCAACCACACCAAGCUAACGUUUGUACUUCAGUAGAGAAAAGGUUUCAUCCUUUUCGCCAGGCUGGGCUGAAACUCCUGACCUCAAGUUAUCUACAUUCUUUGGACUCCCAAAGUGUUAGGAUUGCAAGCAUGAGUCACCACACCUGGCUCCAACCCAGAUUUUUAAGGCUCUCCCAAGGAUAAUUUCCUUAAAGCACAAACUAGUUUAUGUCUGUUGAUUAACAUUCUUUUAUGAAUUUCUCCAGUUUUCAGAAUAAAAUAUUGUAUUUUACUUUUAUUUUCAGAAGAAGCAAAAUUCUUUGUGUAAUUGUGCCUGUUUAAGCUUUAGUCUCUUCUUGUUAGUCACCUAAAUAUGCCUGUAUGCUUUGGUCAACCUGGAAAUUUCCUUAUGACUUUUCAUACUGUACUACCCUCUAAUUGUAAUGCACUCCUGCUGAAGUAAACGCUCCUCUUCUGCUACAUAUCACGCCUUUAUAACUCUCCUACUUUAUGUAACAGAAUACUUUGCUUUCCUAGCC